CCCGCUGAACUUAAGCAUAUCAAUAAGCGGAGGAAAAGAAACUAACAAGGAUUCCCCUAGUAACUGCGAGUGAAGCGGGAAAAGCUCAAAUUUAAAAUCUGUCAGUCUUUGGCUGUCCGAGUUGUAAUCUAGAGAAGUGUUAUCCGCGCUGGACCGUGUACAAGUCUCCUGGAAUGGAGCGUCAUAGAGGGUGAGAAUCCCGUCUUUGACACGGACUGCCAGGGCUUUUGUGAUGCGCUCUCAAAGAGUCGAGUUGUUUGGGAAUGCAGCUCAAAAUGGGUGGUAAAUUCCAUCUAAAGCUAAAUAUUGGCGAGAGACCGAUAGCGAACAAGUACCGUGAGGGAAAGAUGAAAAGAACUUUGGAAAGAGAGUUAAACAGUACGUGAAAUUGCUGAAAGGGAAACGCUUGAAGUCAGUCGCGUCAUCCAGGGAUCAACCUUGCUUUUGCUUGGUGUACUUUCUGGUUGACGGGUCAGCAUCAAUUUUGACCAUUGGAAAAAGAUUAAGGGAAUGUGGCAUACAUAGUGAUGUGUUAUAGCCCUUGGUUGCAUACAAUGGUUGGGAUUGAGGAACUCAGCACGCCGCAAGGCCGGGUUUUUAACCACGUUCAUGCUUAGGAUGCUGGCAAUAUGGCUUUAAUCGACCCGUCUUGAAACACGG
rnacentral:rRNA from 1 species